GCCGUAAGAAGAGGAUUGUGGGAAAGAAUCUGUCACCUGGAAUUUCCAACACAGUGACAUUCACAGCAUUCGCUGUAUAGCAGGCUGUCUGCUGCCGUGCCUCCCUGUCAUUGUGGACUCGUCCUCUGAAACUGGCCUCAUUGUGCAGCCUGACCUCCUCUACCCACUUAUUUUGUCGGGAUGAAAGCCAUCUUCAACUCAUCUCAUCUUAUUCAUCCCCACCUCCAGAUGACAUCUUUCAUGCAAGAUUGAAGCAUCACUAUGAGGGAAAGAUGUUAGCAUUCUAUAUAAACUCCACCCCAACAGAUACCUGGCAGGAGCCAGGUAUGCUCCUCCCCAUGGUUACUUGGCAACUGCCGGGUAGGCCUAGCUCUAUAAAAGGGGCUGCUUGUCCCCUUCUCUCUCUCUUACUCCUGCUUCUC